rnacentral:rRNA from 1 species
GACGAACGCUGGCGGCGUGCUUAACACAUGCAAGUCGAACGGAAAGGCCCUGCUUUUGUGGGGUGCUCGAGUGGCGAACGGGUGAGUAACACGUGAGUAACCUGCCCUUGACUUUGGGAUAACUUCAGGAAACUGGGGCUAAUACCGGAUAGGAGCUCCUGCUGCAUGGUGGGGGUUGGAAAGUUUCGGCGGUUGGGGAUGGACUCGCGGCUUAUCAGCUUGUUGGUGGGGUAGUGGCUUACCAAGGCUUUGACGGGUAGCCGGCCUGAGAGGGUGACCGGGCAAAAUUGGACUGAGAUACGGGCCAGACUCCUACGGGAGGCAGCAGUGGGGAAUAUUGCACAAUGGGCGGAAGCCUGAUGCAGCAACGCCGCGUGCGGGAUGACGGCCUUCGGGUUGUAAACCGCUUUCGCCUGUGACGAAGCGUGAGUGACGGUAAUGGGUAAAGAAGCACCGGCUAACUACGUG